UACAGAGGUCUCAAGCGUUGUUCGGAUUCAUUGGGCGUAAAGGGUGCGUAGGCGGCGCGGUAAGUCGGGUGUGAAAUCUCGGAGCUUAACUCCGAAACUGCAUUCGAUACUGCCGUGCUUGAGGACUGGAGAGGAGACUGGAAUUUACGGUGUAGCGGUGAAAUGCGCAGAUAUCAGGAGGAACACCGGUGGCGAAGGCGGGUCUCUGGGCCGAUAUUGACGCUGAGGAGCGAAAGCGUGGGGAGCGAACAGG
rnacentral:rRNA from 1 species